CCUGUGUAUUAGUGUAUAGUAACAAAGAAAGGAAACAGUUAGUGCCAAGUGAGUGACAUGCGGCUUCCAAGCCCCAUCCGUAUAGGAGUUCACUGGAUUUGGGCCACUAAGGAGAGCUCCACCUCAGAUCUCCAGGCAUUUAGAUCCCGGAGGUCAGGGACCCCCAAAGAAGUAGAGGGAAAUAAUCCCACAUUGGAUCACAGCCCGUUUCAGAAUUUCAAGAAGAGAUGGAAAGCUGCAUGAUAUGGUUGUUCCAAUAUCCAAGCCAAAGCAACAAAUGACCUUCAGAAUCCCAGGCCAUAGUAAGUGGACAAGGGGAACUGGAUUUUACACAAGGGAUGAGUGUGGUGAUCCUCCUCACAAUCUAAAGAAUCCAGCCCAUGAUAUAAACCUGUAUAAAUCCAUACAUAGGUUCUUAACCAAGAACUCACAAAUAA